UACGUAGGGUGCAAGCGUUGUCCGGAAUUAUUGGGCGUAAAGAGCUCGUAGGCGGUCUGUUGCGUCGGCUGUGAAAACCCGGGGCUCAACCCCGGGCCUGCAGCCGAUACGGGCAGACUAGAGGUAGGCAGGGGAGAGCGGAACUCCUGGUGUAGCGGUGGAAUGCGCAGAUAUCAGGAGGAACACCGAUGGCGAAGGCAGGUCUCUGGGCCGCAACUGACGCUGAGGAGCGAAAGCAUGGGGAGCGAACAGG
rnacentral:rRNA from 1 species